GAACAAAAGGGGGCAAAGAAGUUGAUGUGUGUGGUUAUCAUUAGGUGAACUAUAUGAAGUGAAAAAGCCCUCAAAGGUCAUUUGUUAAAGUAGUUCUCUCUUUUGUGGUAAUUAGUUUUGAUCGUAGGUCUUUGCCAUCAAUCUAUUCUAUGCCCAAGUUUAGUGUUGGUCUUGUGGGUUUCAACUAUCUCCUCCAAAAAACUAUAGGGUAGCUAGACAGUAACAAGCUGCUUGGCAGUCAAGUUCUGCCCUGUUCUCAGCACCAGACACUUAGUGUCUAAAUACUGUUUGAGCUAUUUUUGUAAUUCCUAAAUUGAUUACUGCUGAGAUUUUUGUGCUAUUGGACCUAAAUUAGUGCUGCAAAAACAAUAUAUUUCUUUUUAAAUGAAAUAAUGCUUGUCAUUUGCAACAAUGAUCAAACAUGUGUUUGUGUUGAUGGUUAUUGACACCACUGUGGCUGAACUUUGCAUGCGUUAUUUUGAUUUUGCCACUUAUUAAUAUGAGUCUUAAAGAUCUGUUUCUAACACUCACUGUAACGAUCUUGAUUGAGUUUGCUAGUGAAUCUAAACAUUCUAGUUUUUCAACUGGUUUAUUAUCUUCAAGGUAUCUGAACAUUCUAGAUGUGUUGGGUAUUAGUCGAAGCAGCUAGAUUUUAAUUGCCAAGUAAAUAGACGUAUCUUAAUUCCCUACAUGAACAAAAUAUUCUUGGAUACUAGAACAAUAUUCUAGUGAAUAUGAAGGGAAAAACUAUGUCUUGUUCAAGGAAAGAAAAGUAGAAGGGGAAAGAGAAAUAAAUUUCUGCAUGUGGAAGUCACCAUAUUGGUGUAUGUUCAAGGUCUCUUAGUUUCCAAUAUGUGGGUUAUUCUUGGUUAUUUAAUUACAUAUUUGCUGUUUUUGUUCCUUUUUUUUUUCAGAAAUUAUUUCACUAUUGCUUAUUUUUACUAGGCUGAAGAGUAUAAUCUAUCAUUUUCGGGGAAACAGAGAGUUUGUACGGCUACGAAUUGGUAUUGGUAGGCCGCCAGGUCAGAUGGAUCCUAAGGCAUUCUUGCUGCAAAAGUUUAAUGCAUCGGCUCGAGAACGAAUUGAUACGGCUUUGCAAGAGGGAGUUGAUGGAUUGAAGCUUGUUUUAUCUAAAGGGUUGACAGAGAGUGCAAGAUGCUUCAACACCGCACAAAAGUACAAGCAUAUAAGAUUGCAAAACAUGCCAAUCUGAAGAAUGUUGGGAUGGGAUCAUCUGUAUAAACAUGUCUUUACAUUAUUCUCAUAUAGGGAGCCCUGUAGAUUUUGAGACAAUUUUGAAAGUAUUCUAUUUUUCUUAGCUUCAAAACAGAAAUGGAGUGAAGUUUGCAGCAUAUUCUUGUUUUGACAUAGCAGAAUAACGGACAGCAGUAGCUUUCUCAUAUAUCUGGUAAUAAUUC